rnacentral:rRNA from 1 species
AUUGAACGCUGGCGGCAGGCCUAACACAUGCCAGUCGAACGCGUGGCGGACGGGUGAGUAAUGUCUGGGAAACUGCCCGAUGGAUGGGGAUAACUACUGGAAACGGUAGCUAAUACCGCAUACCAUCGGAUGUUCCCAGAUGGGAUUAGCUAGUAGGUGGGGUAACGGCUCACCUCGGCGACGAUCCCUAGCUGGUCUGAGAGGAUGACCAGCCACACUGGAACUGCGACACGGUCCAGAGUCCUACGGGAGGCAGCAGUGGGGAAUAUUGCACAAUGGGCGCAAGCCUGAUGCAGCCAUCCCGCGGGGGCGAUGAAGGCCUUCGGGUUGUAAAGCACUGUUGGCAGGAAAGCGGUACCUGCAGAAUAAGCACCGGCUAACUACGUGCCAGCAGCCGCGGUAAUUC